CCUAGUAAAAAAGCUAGAAUUACAACAUAAGACCAGAAGACCCUGUGAAGCUUAAAUAAAACUAUUAAACCAUAUAAUAGCUACUUUCGGUUGGGGCGACCUUGGAAAAAAAAAGAACUUCCAAAUAAAAUGAAUAUACCUCAUUACCUAAACAGGCCAACAAGCCAAAAAUGACCCAGCACAGCUGAUAAUUGAACCAAGUUACUCCAGGGAUAACAGCGCAAUCUUCUUCAAGAGCCCAUAUCAAAAAGAAGGUUUACGACCUCGAUGUUGGAUCAGGACAUCCUAAUGGUGCAGCCGCUAUUAAGGGUUCGUUUGUUCAACGAUUAAUA
rnacentral:rRNA from 1 species